rnacentral:ncRNA from 1 species
CUAUCGUGGGUCGGUCGCUGAUAAAGCAGCGAUCGGGUUUGGUAGCCCGGUUU